UACGAACUGUGCGAACGUUAUUCGGAAUCACUGGGCUUACAGGGUGCGUAGGCGGCUAUUCAGGUCAGGUGUGAAAGCCCCCGGCUCAACCGGGGAACUGCGCUUGAAACCGAGUGGCUCGAGUCAGCUAGAGGUACACGGAACUUCCAGUGGAGCGGUGAAAUGUGUUGAUAUUGGAAGGAACACCGGUGGCGAAGGCGGCAUCCUGGACCAAUACUGACGCUGAGGAGCGAAAGCCAGGGGAGCAAACGGGGAUUAAGAUGACCCUUGUAG
rnacentral:rRNA from 1 species